UACGGGCUUUGGGCGCUGAUGCUGUAAUCCUGUCACCUAUUUUGGCCCGGAGUACAGACUGCUCACAGCCUGGGACUCUACAUUUUACAGAGAUCGACUCUAGAUAUGGCAACGAAGAGUCAUUUAACAAUUUGGUCCAAAAAGCGAAGAAACUAGAAUUGAAACUGCUGGUAACAUUGCCACUUCAAACAGUCAGCAUCACAUCAGAUUGGUUUAACUUGAGCGCUAACAGAACCACUGGCUUUGAAGAUUUUGUGCAUUGGAGAGACGGUAACAAGAAUGAUCCCCCGCUGGUGGACGAUAAUAUAGGAACCUGGGUUUGGGACGACAAACGUAAUGGAUAUUACAGAUCACUGAACAAUGCUAGCUUCUUGAACUUGUGCUCAGAAACAAUAGCGGCGGCUUUCAAAACCAUUAUGUGCUACUGGACAAAGCUUGAUGUGGCCGGGUUUCUCCUGAAGCCCGACUAUCCGAUUAGUUAUGAGUGCGGGAUUGAGCUGGUUCAAAGAAUAUCGGUUCAUGCUGCAAGUUGUUCUCGAGAUGCAAAUGGAGAUACUCCCAUUAUCUUAGUCGAUACAAAAGCGAAUAUAUCAGUAGCGAUGCGGUACUACGGCGAGGGGUCACCAGGUGCCAACAGCGUAAUAAGUAACGCUCUAACAUCGUCCUCGAGGAAAACCGCACCAGAUUUAGCGCUGGACAUACAUGCCGCUCUCUUGUACGGUCCACAAGAUACAACUCCCGCUUGGCUGACAAGUUCGCAUGAAGAUAGCCGAAUUGUGAGUAGACUUGGAAGUGACAUGGUGGAUGCUAUCAACAUGCUAUCCCUGAUCCUGCCUGGAGCAACCAUCAUACAGCAAGGGGACGAAUUAGCAGCUGCAGACACCCUCUUAGAAUGGGCUACUCAGACCAAAUGCUGGCCAAAUCCUAUGAUACCUUCUGCUGCGCCGUUUCCCUGGGAUGACUCAGUCAGUGGCGGCUUCACGACUGCUGAAGCCUGGGUUCCACUCGCGCCCAACUAUAGAUAUGCAAAUGCUAAGACGGAGUAUGGGAAUGAGUUGAGUCACCUUGGAGUUGUGAGGGUGUUGGCAGAUACUAAGAAAAAUACGGUGGGCUUCCAUACGGAGAUAAAAAGGUUGAAUGACGUAUUAGCAGUACUAAGAUGGGGCGGGCCGGCUUCUGUAAUUGUCGUCUCCAACAUUGGGCCAAAAAGCUCAGAAAGUCAACUAUGAAUGAUACCAGGUCUGCCUGGAGACAUGACUGUUGCUGCCACUUCAAGCGGAUCACGAUUCUCGCCAGGGGUUCAUAUCAAUGUGGAGAAGACUUUGAAGCUAUCGCCAGGGGAGACGGUACUUCUUGUUGGUGCUCCAAGACAUUGUGGUGGUCCCGGGCCAGUUGACAAGAUUGCUAGCAAACUG